ACUCCUACGGGAGGCAGCAGUGGGGAAUAUUGCGCAAUGGGCGAAAGCCUGACGCAGCGACGCCGCGUGGGGGAUGACGGCCUUCGGGUUGUAAACCUCUUUCAGCAGGGACGAAGCGAAAGUGACGGUACCUGCAGAAGAAGCACCGGCCAACUACGUGCCAGCAGCCGCGGUAAU
rnacentral:rRNA from 1 species